CCCCCCCCCUCCUCCAUAUGGAACUGAGGCAGCUACCAAGCAGUGGUACCGGGACAAAACGUCGGCCCCAACAAAACAUCUAAUAAACAAAUUACUGCACAUGCUCGUUAAUCUGCGUGCUGUCAGAUUUGAGAAAACAUCGUCCGUAGGCUGAGGGUCUUCAUGACGGUGAGGGUAGACUCAAGGGACUUGACGGGUCUCUGCAGCCGCUCUGUCGCGUCCUCACGGUCGGUCGAACCCGUUAACGUUUGCUCCUAUUUUGUCAUAAGCUCAUGUGACAUCACAGCUCUUGUGUGUCUAGAAAUGUGGGUUCUUGUUUGUAUUUGCGGCGACUCCGUUCCAAACCAAUUACAGACCCCCCCCUAUCCCUCCCAGCACGCUUGUUUUGAAGUGAUCUGAACAGACGUGGACAGGCGUAAUCAUGGAUAAGAAGUUAUUUUCCCGAUUUAUGUGGAAGUCCAUGUUUAUCGUUUGUCCAGUUUAUUAGAACAGAAGUGUGAGUUUCUCAAUCAUGCAUCAGCAGUCAAGUUAAGCAAGAAAAAUAUUAGAGAGGGAAGGUCAGAUUUGUGAACCUUGAGAAAAAAAAAUUCAGUUUGUUUUUGUUUUUUGUUCACGGCUUCAUCCUUGAGUUCUAUUUGGAUUUCCGAGGUGUUGUGAACAACCUUGUUACAUGGGGAGUAUUUGGUCUGGAACACAGUCACUGCCUCUUUCUGCUAGAACAGUUUGGUUUGUCCAGCUUCAGAUCGAGUGUCCAUAUCCAAAUCAGGUUUUCAAAUAGCCUCUCCUCCUCUUUUCUUCUUUUUUCUCUCAUGUUUUUGAGGAUGAGGAAUUUUUGUGUCUCUACUGGGUAUAGUAACCUGUGGUGUCCAUUCAGGCCCUGUUUGCAGGAGGAAACUUGAGGGGACAAUAUUGUCAUGGCCAAUCAGAAUAAAGCAGUAUGGAACACAUGGCAGACAGUAUGGCUUCCUUGCUGUUCUUCUCUUUGUACGUUGACUUUUUUUGAGGAAGUUCUUUUUAACCGUACAUCUUUGUGGUCUGGCUUUCCCUGAAGCAUCGGCGCGAGUAUGAUCUCCGUUAAAUUGUAAAACCUUUAGGAAAAAGUUGUACACGUGGAGAUGCUUUUUAGGAAACCCAGAUUCCGAUCAACGGUAAACAUGAAUUAUUUAGUAAGUUUUUCUCGCUCUCAGCCGUCUUAGGUUGAAAAUGCGGAGGGGAUAUUGUCGUUUUGUAAUCCGAUCCUUCAUGCCACUGUUCAUUUGUGGUAUUGGUGACAAUAAUCUCUCGUGUAUUUUACUGUCACAGUCGACACUUGUGCACUUGUACUCGAGUGUGUUCUUAACUCGGCAGCAGAGACGGUGACAUCCUGGUUAAAAGGAACUUCCUCUCAGUGUUGGACCACAGAAUGGCGCCCUGGUGAAGCCAAUAGGAAUGUCCGCCAGGUGGAUUGUACAACAUGAAAUCAUUUUUGGUGAUUUUGUUUAGAUGCGUUAGAUGACAGAAGCCGUUUAAAAAAAAGAAAUUAAAAAAAAAAAAAGAAAGAAAAGAGGUCCAGAAGACACAGAGUAUGAAUUUCAAUACAAAUAAAAAUAAUGAAAAAAGAAGAAUAAAGAUGUUAAAGACAAAAUGCUCUGUCGGUCUUUUGUCACAUAUUGAAACACACUGGACCAGCACGCUCAAAUAACUGAUAUUGUCAGUCAAACUAUAUAGGGGGGAAAUACUAAAUCUUUUAUUUUUUUUUUCUUGCAUUCUUGGACUGUUGAUGUUAAAACUCAUUUUUCUGAACACUUUAUGGACUCUGGUCCGUGUUGGCUUAAAAAUUUGGAGUUCACUCUUGACCGGAGAAGCAGCAGUUGACAAAACAAUCUCACCACAAGGUCCUUUUAGUAGCCGUCCUAGAGCUUUCUAUCAUAUCCCACCGGCUUCCUCAGCAGGUGCGUUGUUUAAAUAUCAAUUUGUCUGCAGACCUACAAUUUUGAUAAUGAGCAACUCCAUGAAAACUGGGUAAAAUCUGUCUGCCAAGGAAAUCUGAUAUGACUGAAAGUGAGCAGCUUUGUGACAGAAGAAGAAAUGGAAACUCUAAGAAGAGGAGGGAACUAUUUUGUGAAUAUGGAACUUGAACUCGGGCCAGUUCAUCAGGUAUGAACAGAGCUCAGUGAUUUAUCUGGAGCAGUUUCAGCUCAUUAAAGAUGCCGGUGUUUAGAAAGCUUGAAAUCUCAGAAAACGGAAAAGUGAUAAACAUCAAUUGGCUGCUUUUGACUGUUAAGUAAUGUGAUUUCAUUUUUUUUUUUACAAUUUUACCCAAAAGAAGGUAAAGUCCUUUCAAGUUAGAUGACUCUUGCUUUGCAUUUAGGAAAGCGACGAGACGUCAGACUACACGUUAUCAACUCGAGGAACCGUCUGAACACCUGCGCACCCUUUCCACUGUCAGUGCCACAACUGCAGCGCCACCAAAGAUGACUCGCCUGUGUCCACGGCGAAGGUCGGGACACUGCGAACCGCCUUCGCUGAUAAAUAUGAGGUCGUGCAGAUUGCUAUGUGCUGUCGUUUGGUCACAAAACAAGCACAGGUCAUGGUGGCCCCAGCAGGCUUUAGGCCUCCUGCUGGCAGACUGCUCUCUCCAGUCCACCCAAACAAAGUUGAUGUAGCGCUUCUGGAAGCAGACCGCAGGAAUGACAUCUU